rnacentral:rRNA from 1 species
UACAGAGGUCCCAAGCGUUGUUCGGAUUCACUGGGCGUAAAGGGUGCGCAGGUGGGUUGGCAAGUUUGAUGUGAAAGCCCCGGGCUUAACCCGGGAAUGGCAUUGAAUACUGCUGAUCUGGAGGAUUGGAGGGGGGACUGGAAUUCUUGGUGUAGCAGUGAAAUGCGUAGAUAUCAAGAGGAACACCAGUGGCGAAGGCGGCUUCCUGGUCCAGCACCGACGUUCAGGCACGAAAGCGUGGGGAGCAAACAGG